AUGACCUUCACACUGAGGCAAUCUUACACUUCCCUUACCCUUUUCCUUUUCUCUCUCUUUCUCUCCUUUCCUCAUCCAGUAACUCCAGUCAGACUCCAUUGUCUCCAAGUCGACUUUCGUCCUCAUCCACAACUCCUCCACACAAGCCCUGAACACGUGUCCAUGUUUCUCCUAUUUACCUCAAGCACGUAUGGAGCGAAUUCUUACCUUUUAAUAUUGCCAUGGCAUUCACAUUGAACAUAAGUUGAACUCUCUCAUAUGGUAGCUGGGUUCAGAUUCCCUUGACAAUUUCCAGUUCUAACCCUCACAGUUCCUCAGUGUGGCUGGCCCAGAUAUUGACCCUACACCAGUUGCCUCCUCCUGGUGACUACCAGCUAUGGAACCGUUGGAUACAACCUACCUGACUCACCCCACAGACCUCACAGCGCACAUGGACAGCCCCCACACGCCAGAGUGACCUGCUCGGUUGCAGCAGGAGUCAAGAAAUGUGCCUGCUGGCACUCACCCCACCGACUAGUUCCCCGUGGAAAACUUAUUUGGGUAAUGAUCUGGGCCCAAUAAAGGCUGGAGUCCCACAGACCCCUUUUCUCUCUCCUGCUCCCCACUCGUCUUCCCCAUUUUGUUCAGCCCUAUGAGUUGUGCUACUGUAUUAGUCCAUUUUCACACUGCCGGAAAAGACAUGCCCAAGACUGGGUAAUUUCCAGGAGAAAGACGUUUAAUAGACACACAGUUGCACAUGGCUGGGUAGGCCUCACAAUCAUGGUGCAAGGUGAAAGGCACGUCUCACAUGGCAGCAGAC
rnacentral:lncRNA from 1 species